rnacentral:rRNA from 1 species
UUAUAGGUUUGAGUGGCAUUUAUAAUUUAUAGAAAGAAUCAUCUAAUUUUAUUAGUAAUGGAGAAUGAAGUUUUUAGUAAUAGCAAGAUUGAAAAAGUACUGUGAAGGAAUAAGAAGGUUAAUUGGUUUGUUAGUAAGAGUUAGCUUUUGUACCUUUUGUAUCAUGGUUCUCUUAGAAUUUUUUAGUAUUAAAUUUAUCCCGAAAAAAGUUGAGCUAUUCCUUGACUUGCGUCAUCGUUGAAAAGCUGUGCUUAGAUUAAGGAAUAGGGGUGAUAUGCUUUUCGAAACUUUUUAUUGCUGGUUGGUUGGUAAAAGCAUCAAAGUGCUGGGUUGUACUUUUGUUUUUCGCCUAUUUGGUGAUUAAAUUAGUAUAGCUUUUAUGUGAAUAAGGAUAAGCUUAUUCAUAUGUUUAAGAAAUCGUAUAAAAAUAUUGUGUAUGGUGGGCUUAGAGUUAGUUAUCUAUUAAAAAGUUUGUUAUAAAUUAUCUUUGUUUUUGAUUAAGAUUUUUGUGUUUUUUCUUGUUAUGGCUACUGACUUAAUUACUUGAGUUAUUUUGAGUUAUAAAUUUCUGGUGAAAUGAGUAUUUAUUUGCAGUUAACUACACAUGGAUUAUUAUUAGAGAUGUUUUGUGGAGUUUAGAAAUAAAUUUAGUGUUUAUUAAUAGAAAAUGUUAAGUUUAAUUAAUUUUGUUAAAGGAAUUCGGCAAAAAUUAGUUCCGCCUGUUUACCAAAAACAUGUCUCCUUGGAUGUAUAUUUAUAGGGAGUCGAACCUGCCCAGUGACUAAGAUGUUAAACGGCCGCGGUACCCUAACCGUGCAAAGGUAGCAUAAUCAUUUGCCUUUUAAUUGGAGGCUUGUAUGAAUGGUUUGACGAGAGCUAUGCUGUCUCUUUUAAAAUAAUUAGAAAUUAACUUUUAGGUGAAGAGGCCUAAAUGAAGCUGAGGGACAAGAAGACCCUAUUGAGCUUUAGUAUAUCUGAGUUAAGUGAUUUUGGUUUUGUUUUCAUUUAUGGAAUAUUUUAAUUCAGGGAUUCUUUAGUUGGGGCGACUGAGGAACAUAAAAAGCUUCCUUGUGAGUUUUAUAAUGUAAUUUAUUUAUAUUGAUGAAUUAGUUUGAUCCGGCUUUUGUCGAUUAAGAGAAAAAGUUACCAUAGGGAUAACAGCGUAAUCUUUCUGGAGAGAUCAUAUCGAAAGAAGGGUUUGCGACCUCGAUGUUGGACUAAGAUAUCCUAAAGGUGUAGAAGCUUUUAAGGGUUGGUCUGUUCGACCAUUAAAAUCUUACAUGAUCUGAGUUCAGACCGGCGUGAGCCAGGUUGGUUUCUAUCUUCAGUUUUAAUUUUCUUUGGCUAGUACGAAAGGACCGUUUUAAGAUAAAUAUUUUAGUAGAUUGAGUGCGUAUAAUAUAGUUAUAAAAAUUAAAUUUGUGUGUUUUAAAAUU